CGAGGAAUAUUGCGCAAUGGGGGCAACCCUGACGUAGCAACGCCGCGUGAGUGAGGAAGGUUUUCGGACCGUAAAGCUCUGUCGAGCGGGAAGAAAUGCAUGGUGGCUAAUAUCCAUCAUGCUCGACGGUACCGCUAAAGGAAGCACCGGCUAACUCCGUGCCAGCAGCCGCGGUAAUACGGGGGGUGCGAGCGUUGUUCGGAAUUAUUGGGCGUAAAGAGCGUGUAGGCGGCCGAAUAAGUCAGAUGUGAAAUCCCUGGGCUUAACCCAGGACGUGCAUUUGAAACGAGUCGGCUAGAGUAGGGGAGAGGAAAGUGGAAUUCCUGGUGUAGAGGUGAAAUUAGUAGAUAGCAGGAGGAACACCGGUGGCGAAGGCGACUUUCUGGCCCUAUAAUGACGCUGAGACGCGAGAGCGUGGGUAG
rnacentral:rRNA from 1 species